GCCUCGAUACCCGAAGAAGCCUUUUCAAGCUCUGCCAAGAACUGUCUUGCAGCUUCAGAACUCCCAAAUAUCAUCUCUUCAGUCUCGUCUUCACUAUCAAUAACACCUUCUCCUCCAGAAGGUUCAUGAUCCCCUUCUCCUCCAGAAGGUUCAUGAUCCACUUCCUUGCCUUCAAGACUAAACUCACGAGAAGAAACAUUGUCAGCGGCUGGGAUUUUGUCUCCAUCUUCUUCAGCAAUGUUUCCUUCAGAAACUUUCCCGGCC
rnacentral:lncRNA from 1 species